AGUCGCGUGUUCUAAUGGUUAUGAUUUGUCGUUCACACUUGUGAGCUUGUAGCUACAACUUCCUGUAGUACCGACAAGGUUCCCGGUUCGAUCCCGGGCGCGACUA
rnacentral:tRNA from 4 species